UACGUAGGGUGCGAGCGUUGUCCGGAAUUAUUGGGCGUAAAGAGCUCGUAGGCGGUGUGUCGCGUCGGCCGUGAAAACCCGGGGCUCAACUCCGGGCUUGCAUUCGAUACGGGCAGACUAGAGUUCGGUAGGGGAGGCUGGAAUUCCUGGUGUAGCGGUGAAAUGCGCAGAUAUCAGGAGGAACACCGGCGGCGAAGGCGGGUCUCUGGGCUGAUACUGACGCUGAGGAGCGAAAGCGUGGGGAGCAAACAGG
rnacentral:rRNA from 1 species